rnacentral:snoRNA from 1 species
AUUCUAUGGUGAGGACAAUCUGAAAUGUAUCCUUGAAAACGCUCCCAUGCUUCUGAAAUGGCUUCUGUCUUCUGUUGUUGAAAAUAUUUCCUCUUAAGGCA